UACGUAGGGUGCGAGCGUUGUCCGGAAUUACUGGGCGUAAAGAGCUCGUAGGUGGUUUGUCGCGUUGUCCGUGAAAACUCACAGCUCAACUGUGGGCGUGCGGGCGAUACGGGCAGACUGGAGUACUGCAGGGGAGACUGGAAUUCCUGGUGUAGCGGUGGAAUGCGCAGAUAUCGGGAGGAACACCCGUGGCGAAGGCGGGUCUCUGGGACGGUACUGACGCUGAGACGCGAAAGCGUGGGGAGCGAACCGG
rnacentral:rRNA from 1 species